rnacentral:rRNA from 1 species
UUGCCCUACGGGACGCAGCAGUGAGGAAUAUUGGUCAAUGGCCGGAAGGCUGAACCAGCCAAGCCGCGUGAAGGACGAAGGUGGCAAGCAUUGUAAAGUUCUUUUGUCAAGGGACAAAAUCAGGCUCGAGAGCCUGACCGAGGGUACUUGAAGAAAAAGCAUCGGCUAACUCCGUGCCAGCAGCCGCGGUAAUACGGAGGAUGCGAGCGUUAUCCGGAUUUAUUGGGUUUAAAGGGAGCGUAGGUGGAUUGUUAAGUCAGUUGUGAAAGUUUGCGGCUCAACCGUAAAAUUGCAGUUGA